UACGAAGGGGGCUAGCGUUGCUCGGAAUCACUGGGCGUAAAGGGCGCGUAGGCGGAUCUUUAAGUCGGGGGUGAAAGCCCAGGGCUCAACCCUGGAAUUGCCUUCGAUACUGAGGAUCUCGAGACCGGAAGAGGUGAGUGGAACUGCGAGUGUAGAGGUGAAAUUCGUAGAUAUUCGCAAGAACACCAGUGGCGAAGGCGGCCUGCUGGGCAGUGGCUGGACACUGAGGCGCGACAGCGUGGGGAGCAAACAGG
rnacentral:rRNA from 1 species